rnacentral:tRNA from 1 species
GAGGACAUAGCUCAGCGGUAGAGUGCAUGCUCAGCGUGCAUGAGGUCCUGGGUUCAAUCCCCAGUGCCUCCA